GCUCGACAAAAGUAUUUUCGGUCGCGAUUUUUUUGUUCGAAAAGUAGCACGCGUUUUUGUGUGGGUCGUUCUUUAUUUAUUGCUCACCCCAUUAAUGAAAUAUCUUAAAUUCAUCAUAUAUUAUAAUUAAAUUUGAAAUAAUUAUUUCCAUUUCCAUAUUAGAUAUAUGUUAGUAUUUUCAUAAUUUGUUGCCAGCAUUUUGAAGUUAAUUCAGUUUUAAAUUAAGUUAAUUCCAUAUAGUUUCCACCUCGAUUUUAAUUUAUUUUAUUGAUUCUGUUUGUUGUAUGGGGUGAGUAGGUAAAUCGUCGAAUUAUGGUUUUCUUAUCGUUCGGUAUAAGGCCAUCGGGAUAAGCGUCGCGAUCGGGAAACUAUGGCCGCGUGAGCCCACACAACCCUCUACGGCGUUGGAGAUUGUAACUAACGGUUUAAUCUAGUCGGUCGAUCCGUACUUUCUUUUUCGGGAGUGUUAGUAAUUCCAUGCUUGUUCACCAUAACGGCACAAGCCUAAAACGAAACCAUUUAUAAGUACAAGUUUCAUCCCUAUUGUCAUGUGUGGGAUUGUUUCAAGGCAGCCAUGUAAUUAAUUACAUGGCUUUGUGUACUUAUAUUAUUGAUAUCAUUUGCAAGCUGGAUUAUAACAUUACAUUAAAGGCGGAAAAGCGACUGUUAUCACAAAUGUUUUACAUCGCUGAAACACCCCCUAGAAAAGGCCUGGAUUUUUACGUCGGCUACUAGACCAUCUAAUGGCGUUCUAUGCGUUCCUUUUUACUUUGGGCUUCUUCUGCCAACUUCGCCGUAGUCUUGACGCCCUCUCCCGAUUUCUGGGC